GAAGCGCCGGCUAACUACGUGCCAGCAGCCGCGGUAAUACGUAGGGCGCAAGCGUUAUCCGGAAUUAUUGGGCGUAAAGAGCUCGUAGGCGGUUUGUCGCGUCUGCUGUGAAAGACCGGGGCUCAACUCCGGUUCUGCAGUGGGUACGGGCAGACUAGAGUGAUGUAGGGGAGACUGGAAUUCCUGGUGUAGCGGUGAAAUGCGCAGAUAUCAGGAGGAACACCGAUGGCGAAGGCAGGUCUCUGGGCAUUAACUGACGCUGAGGAGCGAAAGCAUGGGGAGCGAACAGGAUUAGAUACCCUGGUAGUCCAUGCCGUAAACGUUGGGCACUAGGUGUGGGGGACAUUCCACGUUUUCCGCGCCGUAGCUAACGCAUUAAGUGCCCCGCCUGGGGAGUACGGCCGCAAGGCUAAAACUCAAAGGAAUUGACGGGGGCCCGCACAAGCGGCGGAGCAUGCGGAUUAAUUCGAUGCAACGCGAAGAACCUUACCAAGGCUUGACAUGAACUAGUAAAGCGCAGAAAUGUGUUCCCCUCUUGAGGCUGGUUUACAGGUGGUGCAUGGUUGUCGUCAGCUCGUGUCGUGAGAUGUUGGGUUAAGUCCCGCAACGAGCGCAACCCUCGUUCUAUGUUGCCAGCGGUUCGGCCGGGGACUCAUAGGAGACUGCCGGGGUCAACUCGGAGGAAGGUGGGGACGACGUCAAAUCAUCAUGCCCCUUAUGUCUUGGGCUUCACGCAUGCUACAAUGGCCGGUACAAAGGGUUGCGAUACUGUGAGGUGGAGCUAAUCCCAAAAAGCCGGUCUCAGUUCGGAUUGGGGUCUGCAACUCGACCCCAUGAAGUCGGAGUCGCUAGUAAUCGCAGAUCAGCAACGCUGCGGUGAAUACGUUCCCGGGCCUUGUACACACCGCCCGUCAAGUCACGAAAGUUGGUAACACCCGAAGCCGG
rnacentral:rRNA from 1 species